UACGUAGGGGGCAAGCGGUUAUCCGGAAUUAUUUGGGCGUAAAGAGCUCGUAGGCGGUUUGUCGCGUCUGCCGUGAAAGUCCGGGGCUCAACUCCGGGAUCUGCGGUGGGUACGGGCAGACUAGAGUGAUGUAGGGGAGACUGGAAUUCCUGGUGUAGCGGUGAAAUGCGCAGAUAUCAGGAGGAACACCGAUGGCGAAGGCAGGUCUCUGGGCAUUAACUGACGCUGAGGAGCGAAAGCAUGGGGAGCGAACAGGA
rnacentral:rRNA from 1 species